GAACAGUGGGUGCUGGAUGGGUCUUGGUUGUGCUUGUACAUGCUAUCUCCACAGACAAAGAUGGUUCAUGAUUUUAGUUUGGAACUGAUUUUGUGUUCAAAUGAGAUUGUGGUUUGAAAGGCCUUCAUGAGUUUGUGUGUCUGCAGGCCUUUGUUUUCCAGGUGGAGCUAACCAAGCGGCGCCCAAAGGCCUCCUUAAAAAAGGCAUGUCUCCUGAUGAUGUUUCACUUGAAAGAGUUGUUGAACUUCUAUCUUUGGAGUCUGGGUUGAAACUACAUACUCCAGUGCUCAUUUCGAUGACAACUGACUCUUCAAGCCCAACCAGCAACCAAAGGGGGCAUUUGGAGAAACGAGCAGCUAGGGCCAAUUGAAUGACUCCGGUGGCCACAACGCAAGGGGCAACUGAAUGAUGCUGUCAUCUAUGACCAGCAGAGCUACAACGUGAGUAAAGGUCAGCAUGAUUACUUCUCUCAGAAAGUCCGGGAAAGGGUCAACCAGAGCAACAUCCAACAGAGUACUUUCAACAAGUCCAUCAGAACGUCAACACUGACUACAAAUGGAGUCCUUACAAGUCCAGCAGGAUGACUUAACUGAAGGCUUUGUUUUAAACAUAUGAUUUGUUCAGAGUGCUAUUUUAUAUAACUCCUGUCUGAUUGAAUUAAAAUUUUUCCCUUCA